rnacentral:rRNA from 1 species
CCUACGGGAGGCAGCAGUGAGGCAUAUUGCACAAUGGGCGAACGCCUGAUGCAGCAACGCCGCGUGAGCGAUGAAGGCCUUCGGGUCGUAAAGCUCUGUCCUCAAGGAAGAUAAUGACGGUACUUGAGGAGGAAUCCCCGGCUAACUACGUGCCAGCAGCCGCGGGAAUACGUAGGGGGCUAGCGUUAUCCGGAAUGACUGGGCGUAAAGGGUGCGUAGGUGGUUUCUUAAGUCAGAGGUGAAAGGCUACGGAUCAACCGUAGUAAGCCUUUGAGACUGGGGAACUUGAGUGAAGGAGAGGAGAGUGGAAUUCCUAGUGGAGCGGUGAAAUGCGUAGAUAUUAGGAGGAACAUCAGUGGCGAAGGCGACUUUCUGGACUGUAACUGACGCUGAGGCACGAAAGUGUGGGGAGCAAACAGGAUUAGAUACCCGGGUAGUC